rnacentral:lncRNA from 1 species
GGGAUUUUUAUUUUCUAAAAUUUUCAAAUGAAUAUAACUUGAAAACUGUAAGUGAUAGAUACAUGCAGUCUUCAGAAAUGAUUAAAGGACAAUAAAACAAAUCACAUGAAAUAUAGGGGGAGUCCCUGGGGGGUCAUCCCCACCCCCUUCAAUUUGAGAAUAUGCUUUUAUCUUGUAAACGGUCCAGAUCCCCACCCCUAAACCAUAUAUAUUCUUGAAUGGGACAAUAAAACAAAUCAAAUAAAAUUAAAGGGAAGUCCCCGGGGGUCAUCCCCACCCCGUUCAAUUUGAGAAUGUGCUAUUAUCUUGUAAACGGUCCAGAUCCCCACCCCUAAACCAUAUAUAUUCUUGUAGGGGACAAUAAAACAAAUGAAAUGAAAUAAAAGUGAUGUCCCUAGGGGCUCACCCCACUCCCUCUUGUUUGAAAACUUGUAAACGGUCAACAUCCCCACCCCUAAACCAUAUCUAUUCUUGUAUGGGACAAUAAAACUAAUCAAAUGAAAUUAAAUGGAAGUUCCUGGGGUCACCCCCACCCCGUUCAAUUUGAGAAUGUACUAUUAUCUUGUAAACGGUUCAGAUCCCCACCCUUAAACCAUAUAUAUUCUUGAAUGGGACGAUAAAAGAAAUCAAAUGAAAUUAAUGGGAAGUCCCCGGGGGUCAUCCCCACCCCGUUCAAUUUGAGAAUGUGCUAUUAUCUUGUAAACGGUCCAGAUCCCCACCCCUAAACCAUAUAUAUUCUUG